CCCAGCAGCCUCCGGCUGGAAGACGGGCCUCUCUUCCCUCUGCCGUCCCGGGCCCGGCAGAUUCACUCGGAGGGGCUUUCCCGCGUCUACGCAGAACGCCGUCACCGUGACUGGCUGGUACUCUCAUCUGCAUGCCGUUCACAGGUGGCUUGGACGGUGAAAAGGCGGGUCGAGAAGGCCACACCUUUUUGGAAGGGCAAGUCCCAACGAGCAGAUGCUGGGGGCCGGGGGAAGUCUGUGGCCUGAGUCCCACGCCGACCUGGGAAAGACGGCCGCGAGGCUGCAGGAUAGAGAAGAGCUUUCUGACCACGUGGCCCACCCCGCCGUCUCAGGGCAGACGUGAGGGCCCCGGGGACAGAUGCCACCAGGACUCUGUCCCUCAGAAGGAUGAGCAUUUUGAAUCCCUUUCUUUGAGUGCUGUCUUGCAAACUUAUGUGGAUUUUGGGGCUCAUCUACAAGGCUGCAGGCCUCCCAGCAUCCGGAGGGAAUUUAGCCCAACCUCUUUCUUGGGGCAUCGAAGGAGAGCACGGCCCUGGGCUUCUUGGAGCAGUUCCAGCUGGAGGUAUUCACCCGUGUGACCUAGGACGUGCUGCUGAGCGGGGACCCCCGUCAGCGAGCUCGCCUGCUAGGAGGCCACCUUGUCAGCAGGCUGCCUCCACGUUCACUUUAAGCCCGGACUCAACCAGAGCCCCCUGCACGCGUCUUUCCCGGCCACACGGAAAAAGCCACCUGGAGCGGGACAGAACGGAGCCGGCGUGAAAAGAGAGGCCAAGCAGUAGCUAAAAAGAGAAUUUGAAAUGCAUGAUAAGAUUCCAGAACCCAAGAUCAAACGUUCGCCAUGUAAGUGGGUGAACAGAAGGAUCAUCAGGCAGGUUGGAGAUGCAGAGCCUUUGAGAUGUGAUCUCGUUCAGGAAGACAGCGGCACAGGUGACGGGCGAGCAGCGGACCCCUGAACUUCGGGAUGCCGAGGAGGAGGACAGCACAGGCCCAGGAGCAGAGAGGCUGAUGGUCGGUUGGGCGGCUGGCUGGGGGCUCUGAGGAGGAAGCCCCCAUGUGAGGACCCACAGCUUGUGCAGAUGCUGCCUUCCUUCCAGCCGUGAACGUGGAAUAGCUUAGAGAGGUCUAUUGGGUGCCAUCUUGAAUCUGUCCAGAAGUGGGUGCCCAUGCCAUGGUAGAGCUUUAACAAGGAAGAGUUUGGGUCCCCCAAUCUCUGGACCUUGAUUCCUUGUUUUCCUCUGACUCACAGGGGAGCUUUGGGUUUCUGGACAUUGUUACACUCAUGUUUCUCCCCCUUCAACUCAGUUUUAGACUUCAUAAAAGUGUAGGGUAGAUAGAGAAAGGGGAAAAAAGUCCAGACAGGAUGCACAUGAUUUAAUUAACAAUUUUCCAGGUUAUUAAAUGCACGUAUCUUUUGAAAACCGGGAUUGCACGGUUUUAUUUGGCAACCUGAUUUCUCUCACGUGUAUGCUUUCUGAGCAUAAAAUGUGCACAUAGAUGCACGACGUUAGAAGCACGCGAUGCACGUAGCCGCAUUGCGCCCUCCGUUUCAUCGUGCGCAAUUCAUACAUGUCGGUAUUGUAGCU